AGGCCUACGGGCGGCAGCAGUGGGGAAUAUUGCACAAUGGGCGGAAGCCUGAUGCAGCAACGCCGCGUGAGGGAUGACGGCCUUCGGGUUGUAAACCUCUUUUAGCAGGGAAGAAGCGAAAGUGACGGUACCUGCAGAAAAAGCACCGGCUAACUACGUGCCAGCAGCCGCGGUAAUACGUAGGGUGCAAGCGUUAUCCGGAAUUAUUGGGCGUAAAGAGCUCGUAGGCGGUUUGUCGCGUCUGCUGUGAAAUCCCGAUGCUCAACCUCGGGCCUGCAGUGGGUACGGGCAGACUAUGGUGCGGUAGGGGAGAUUGGAAUUCCUGGUGUAGCGGUGGAAUGCGCAGAUAUCAGGAGGAACACCGAUGGCGAAGGCAGAUCUCUGGGCCGUAACUGACGCUGAGGAGCGAAAGGGUGGGGAGCAAACAGGAUUAGAUACCCGAGUAGUCA
rnacentral:rRNA from 1 species